AAAUGAAGGAAGCAUGGUAAUGUGCACAAAGAUUGAAGGAAGCAUGCGUUUUUCGGUCAUCAUGUCUGCUUGCUUUGAUGCCUGUGGCCUUGAUCUGCAGGCCUGGAUCAGACCUACAUAU